AUUCUGCUGACGAGUCCAAAACAAGACGAAACGCUCAUCGUGGAU
rnacentral:hammerhead_ribozyme from 1 species